rnacentral:tRNA from 1 species
GGAGGGGCCAUGGCUCAAUGGUAGAGCAUUUGCUUGGCAUGCAGAAGGGGCCAAGUUCAAUCCCCAGCACCUCCA